rnacentral:tRNA from 1 species
GGAAACGNUCUUUCCUCGGUG